rnacentral:rRNA from 1 species
ACUCCAUGAAGCUGGAUUCGCUAGUAAUCGCGCAUCAGCCACGGCGCGGUGAAUACCGGUUCCCCGGGCCUUGUACACACCGCCCGUCAAGCCAUGAAAGCCGGGGGUACCUGAAGUGCGUAACCGCGAGGAGCGCCCUAGGGUAAAACUGGUGAUUGGGGCUAAGUCGUAACAAGGUAAC